rnacentral:rRNA from 1 species
UAGUCCACGCCGUAAACGAUGUCUACUAGCCGUUGGGGUCCUUGAGGCCUUAGUGGCGCAGCUAACGCACUAAGUAGACCGCCUGGGGAGUACGGCCGCAAGGUUAAAACUCAAAUGAAUUGACGGGGCCCGCACAAGCGGUGGAGCAUGUGGCUUAAUUCGAAGCAACGCGAAGAACCUUACCAGGUCUUGACAUCCAGAAAACUUAGCAGAGAUGCUUUGGUGCCUUCGGGAAUUCUGAGACAGGUGCUGCAUGGCUGUCGUCAGCUCGUGUCGUGAGAUGUUGGGUUAAGUCCCGUAACGAGCGCAACCCUUGUCCUUAGUUGCCAUCAGUUUGGCUGGGAACUCUAAGGAGACUGCCGGUGACAAACCGGGAGGAAGGUAAGGAUGACGUCAAGUCAGCAUGCCCCUUAUGCUCUGGGGCUACACACGUGCUACAAUGGUCGUGACAAAGAGUUGCUACUCUGUGAAGACAAGCUAAUCU